AGUGAACGCUGGCGGUAUGCCUAACACAUGCAAGUCGAACGGCAGCACAGUAAGAGCUCGCUCUUACGGGUGGCGAGUGGCGGACGGGUGAGGCAUACAUCGGCAUCUACUUUUUCUUGGGGGACAACGUAGGGCAACUUACGCUAAUACCGCAUACGACCUACGGGUGAAAGCAGGGGAUCUUCGGACUCUGCGCGAUUGUAUGAGCCGAUGUCGGAUUAGCUAGUUGGCGGGGUAAAGGCCCACCAAGGCGACGAUCCGUAGCUGGGCUGAGAGGAUGAUCAGCCACACUGGAACUGAGACACGGUCCAGACUCCUACGGGAGGCAGCAGUGGGGAAUAUUGGACAAUGGGCGCAAGCCUGAUCCAGCCAUACCGCGUGAGUGAAGAAGGUCUUCGGGUUGUAAAGCCCUUUUGUUAGGAAAGAAAAUAAGCAGAUGAAUACCCCGAUAUUCUGACGGUACCCAAAGAGAAAGCACCGGCUAACUUCGUG
rnacentral:rRNA from 1 species